rnacentral:misc_RNA from 1 species
GUGAAUCAUCGAAUUUUUGAACGCAAAUUGCACUCUCUUUGGAGAGUAUGCCUGUUUGAGGGUCAGUAAUAAUAAAAUCGGGGUGUUGCUUUCUUUGUGACGCACCGGAGAUUGGGCUACCUUUCAUUCUUAGGUUUAAGAUGCUUAAAUUUGAACUUUUUUGUGGAUUUUUAGACGUACAUAAAUUUAUUUUCUUGUUUAUUUUGGUGUCACUUAUCUAUUAGGUGCGAUCAUGUAAUAUGAUCUCGUGCCUA